UGGAUGAGAAAUAUACUUUCUUUAUUUUAUAUAAAAAAUUUAAUUUUUUGGUUAAAAAGCCAAAAUAUUUUUAUAGGACGAGAAGACCCUAUAGAACUUUAUUUUCUUUUUAUAUAAAUUUUUUAGAUUUAUAUAAUUUUAUAUAAUUAUGUUAAUUUUGUUGGGGUGAUUGAAAAAAAAAAUUAACUUUUUCUAUUUUUUACAUUUAUUUAUGUUAUUUUGAUCCUAUUUUAUGGAAAAAAGAUUAAGUUACCUUAGGGAUAACAGCGUUAUUUUUUUGGAGAGUUCAUAUCGAUAAAAAAGUUUGCGACCUCGAUGUUGGAUUAAAAUAAGUAAUAGGAGCAGAAUAUUAUUUACUAG
rnacentral:rRNA from 1 species